rnacentral:rRNA from 1 species
CUACGGGCUGCUCCAGUGAGGAAUAUUGCACAAUGGGGGGAACCCUGAUGCAGCAACGCCGCGUGGAGGAUGACGCAUUUCGGUGUGUAAACUCCUUUUAUAUGUCAAGAAAAUGACGGUGGCAUAUGAAUAAGCACCGGCUAACUCCGUGCCAGCAGCCGCGGUAAUACGGAGGGUGCAAGCGUUACUCGGAAUCACUGGGCGUAAAGGACGCGUAGGCGGGCUUGUAAGUCAGGUGUGAAAUCCUACAGCUUAACUGUAGAACUGCACUUGAAACUACGAGCCUAGAGUAUGGGAGGGGGAGAUGGAAUUAGUGGUGUAGGGGUAAAAUCCGUAGAUAUCACUAGGAAUACCUAAAGCGAAGGCGAUCUCCUGGAACAUAACUGACGCUAAGGCGUGAAAGCGUGGGGAGCAAACAGGAUUAGAUACCCUCGUAGUC